AGCAUCUGCUAAAUCAGGGGUUCUCAAUCCGGGGUCUGUGGAGGUACUGCAGGGGUUCUCAAUCCGGGGUCUGUGGAGGUACUGCAGGGGUUCUCAAUCCGGGGUCUGUGGAGGUACUGCAGGGGUUCUCAAUCUGGGGUCUGUGGAGGUACUGCAGGGGUUCUCAAUCCGGGGUCUGUGGAGG